UGUCGACAAGGUACUACUAAUAAAAUGCAAUAUUACCAUUGAUUAAAAAGGUUGAUGGUAUUGCAAACACAGUUACUGUAAAUAAAGAAAAUAAAAAGAUACAAAACCUUUGAAGUGUCUACAAUAAGAAGGUGAACAAGAGAGAAAUGUCUAUGUCUGCACAGACAAUGUUUACAAGCCACAGAGCUGUGAUAUUUCAAUAUGUAUUGUUGUGAAAGCGGUUAAACGAUUAAAUGAUUAAACAUGUAUAAAGAGUAUCCCUGUUAUUGAUCAGUCAUACCAUAAUAAAAAUCAGCAAACCUUCGAAGCGUCUACAAUAAGGAGGUAAACAAGAUAGAAACCUUUAUGUCGGCACAGGCAUUGUCUACAAGCCACAGCUGUAAUACUUCAACAUGCUGUGAUAGUUCAACAUGUGUUGAUGUGAAAACGGUGAAAUGUUUAAAUGGUUAAACAGAAUGAGAAUGCUCUGAUAUAGGACCAGGAGAACACUCCAAGGAC